rnacentral:rRNA from 1 species
GGGUUGUGAGGUUAAGCGACUAAGCGUACACGGUGGAUGCCCUGGCAGUCAGAGGCGAUGAAGGGCGUGCUAAUCUGCGAUAAGCGCCGGUAAGGUGAUAUGAACCGUUAUAACCGGCGAUACCCGAAUGGGGAAACCCAGUGUGACUCGUCACACUAUCAUUAACUGAAUCCAUAGGUUAAUGAGGCGAACCGGGGGAACUGAAACAUCUAAGUACCCCGAGGAAAAGAAAUCAACCGAGAUUCCCCCAGUAGCGGCGAGCGAACGGGGAGGAGCCCAGAGCCUGAAUCAGCAUGUGUGUUAGUGGAAGCGUCUGGAAAGGCGCGCGAUACAGGGUGACAGCCCCGUACACAAAAGCGCAUGUGCUGUGAGCUCGAUGAGUAGGGCGGGACACGUGGUAUCCUGUCUGAAUAUGGGGGGACCAUCCUCCAAGGCUAAAUACUCCUGACUGACCGAUAGUGAACCAGUACCGUGAGGGAAAGGCGAAAAGAACCCCGGCGAGGGGAGUGAAAAAGAACCUGAAACCGUGUACGUACAAGCAGUGGGAGCACCCUUUGGGUGUGACUGCGUACCUUUUGUAUAAUGGGUCAGCGACUUAUAUUCUGUAGCAAGGUUAACCGAAUAGGGGAGCCGGAGGGAAACCGAGUCUUAACCGGGCGUUAAGUUGCAGGGUAUAGACCCGAAACCCGGUGAUCUAGCCAUGGGCAGGUUGAAGGUUGGGUAACACUAACUGGAGGACCGAACCGACUAAUGUUGAAAAAUUAGCGGAUGACCUGUGGCUGGGGGUGAAAGGCCAAUCAAACCGGGAGAUAGCUGGUUCUCCCCGAAAGCUAUUUAGGUAGCGCCUCGUGAAUUCAUCUCCGGGGGUAGAGCACUGUUUCGGCUAGGGGGCCAUCCCGGCUUACCAACCCGAUGCAAACUGCGAAUACCGGAGAAUGUUAUCACGGGAGACACACGGCGGGUGCUAACGUCCGUCGUGAAGAGGGAAACAACCCAGACCGCCAGCUAAGGUCCCAAAGUCAUGGUUAAGUGGGAAACGAUGUGGGAAGGCCCAGACAGCCAGGAUGUUGGCUUAGAAGCAGCCAUCAUUUAAAGAAAGCGUAAUAGCUCACUGGUCGAGUCGGCCUGCGCGGAAGAUGUAACGGGGCUAAACCAUGCACCGAAGCUGCGGCAGCGACACUGUGUGUUGUUGGGUAGGGGAGCGUUCUGUAAGCCUGUGAAGGUGUGUCGUGAGGCAUGCUGGAGGUAUCAGAAGUGCGAAUGCUGACAUAAGUAACGAUAAAGCGGGUGAAAAGCCCGCUCGCCGGAAGACCAAGGGUUCCUGUCCAACGUUAAUCGGGGCAGGGUGAGUCGACCCCUAAGGCGAGGCCGAAAGGCGUAGUCGAUGGGAAACGGGUUAAUAUUCCCGUACUUGGUGUUACUGCGAAGGGGGGACGGAGAAGGCUAUGUUGGCCGGGCGACGGUUGUCCCGGUUUAAGUGUGUAGGUGUGUGUUCCAGGUAAAUCCGGUUCACUUUAACACUGAGGCGUGACGACGAGGCACUACGGUGCUGAAGCAACAAAUGCCCUGCUUCCAGGAAAAGCCUCUAAGCAUCAGGUAACAUCAAAUCGUACCCCAAACCGACACAGGUGGUCAGGUAGAGAAUACCAAGGCGCUUGAGAGAACUCGGGUGAAGGAACUAGGCAAAAUGGUGCCGUAACUUCGGGAGAAGGCACGCUGACACGUAGGUGAAGUGAUUUACUCAUGGAGCUGAAGUCAGUCGAAGAUACCAGCUGGCUGCAACUGUUUAUUAAAAACACAGCACUGUGCAAACACGAAAGUGGACGUAUACGGUGUGACGCCUGCCCGGUGCCGGAAGGUUAAUUGAUGGGGUCAGCGCAAGCGAAGCUCCUGAUCGAAGCCCCGGUAAACGGCGGCCGUAACUAUAACGGUCCUAAGGUAGCGAAAUUCCUUGUCGGGUAAGUUCCGACCUGCACGAAUGGCGUAAUGAUGGCCAGGCUGUCUCCACCCGAGACUCAGUGAAAUUGAACUCGCUGUGAAGAUGCAGUGUACCCGCGGCAAGACGGAAAGACCCCGUGAACCUUUACUAUAGCUUGACACUGAACAUUGAGCCUUGAUGUGUAGGAUAGGUGGGAGGCUUUGAAGUGUGGACGCCAGUCUGCAUGGAGCCGACCUUGAAAUACCACCCUUUAAUGUUUGAUGUUCUAACGUGGACCCGUUACCCGGGUUGCGGACAGUGUCUGGUGGGUAGUUUGACUGGGGCGGUCUCCUCCUAAAGAGUAACGGAGGAGCACGAAGGUUGGCUAAUCCUGGUCGGACAUCAGGAGGUUAGUGCAAUGGCAUAAGCCAGCUUGACUGCGAGCGUGACGGCGCGAGCAGGUGCGAAAGCAGGUCAUAGUGAUCCGGUGGUUCUGAAUGGAAGGGCCAUCGCUCAACGGAUAAAAGGUACUCCGGGGAUAACAGGCUGAUACCGCCCAAGAGUUCAUAUCGACGGCGGUGUUUGGCACCUCGAUGUCGGCUCAUCACAUCCUGGGGCUGAAGUAGGUCCCAAGGGUAUGGCUGUUCGCCAUUUAAAGUGGUACGCGAGCUGGGUUUAGAACGUCGUGAGACAGUUCGGUCCCUAUCUGCCGUGGGCGCUGGAGAACUGAGGGGGGCUGCUCCUAGUACGAGAGGACCGGAGUGGACGCAUCACUGGUGUUCGGGUUGUCAUGCCAAUGGCACUGCCCGGUAGCUAAAUGCGGAAGAGAUAAGUGCUGAAAGCAUCUAAGCACGAAACUUGCCCCGAGAUGAGUUCUCCCUGAGACUUUAGGUCUCCUGAAGGAACGUUGAAGACGACGACGUUGAUAGGCCGGGUGUGUAAGCGCAGCGAUGCGUUGAGCUAACCGGUACUAAUGAACCGUGAGGCUUAACCUUACAACGCCGAAG